GAUGAACGCUAGCGGCAGGCUUAAUACAUGCAAGUCGAGCGGGAUUGAGAAGCUUGCUUUUCAUGAGAGUGGCGCACGGGUGCGUAACACGUAUGCAACCUGCCUUGUCCAGGGGGAUAGCCCGUUGAAAGACGGAUUAAGACCGCAUAACUUCAUUGAAUGGCAUCGUUUAAUGAUCAAAUAGUUAUAGGGACAAGAUGGGCAUGCGUCUGAUUAGCUAGUUGGCGGGGUAAUGGCCCACCAAGGGGACGAUCAGUAGGGGAUCUGAGAGGAUGACCCCCCACACUGGUACUGAGACACGGACCAGACUCCUACGGGAGGCAGCAGUAAGGAAUAUUGGUCAAUGGGCGCAAGCCUGAGCCAGCCAUGCCGCGUGCAGGAAGACGGCCCUACGGGUUGUAAACUGCUUUUAUACGGGAAUAACCCCGGUUUCGUGAAACCGGCUGAAUGUACCGUAAGAAUAAGGAUCGGCUAACUCCGUGCCAGCCGCCGCCGUAACAC
rnacentral:rRNA from 1 species